AAACAUAGAGUAUGAGACAAAAAAGAUCGUCUAUUACCCAGACUUGGGGAAGUCCAACCUUUGAUACCUGGCUAGGUGGAAGAGUGUGAACCUGCAAAGGAAAGAUCAGAGAUAGAGGAGAUAGUGACUGUGGUAAGACAGCAUUUUUCAAAAGAAGAGAUGAUUAACACAUGUGGUAGUAGGUGAGGACUGAAACAUAUCCACAGAUUUUAUAACAUGGAAUUAAUUUAUUGACCUUAGCAAAAGCUCUUUUGGUGCAGUGAUGAAGGUAGAAACUGAAUUUCAGAGGUUAGAGAAAUAAACAGGAGAUGAGAAAUUGAAACAACUUGUAGAAAAAAACCAACCAACCAAAGAAACCUCUUGAGAAGUUCAGUUAGAAGUUUUAGAACCUGUGAAAAGCAGUUAGGCUUUCUCUUCUCCUUCAUUCCCUCCUUCUUUCCUUCCUCCCUUCCUUCCUUCUUUCCAGCAAAACAUUGCCAUUUUUAGGGCAAAUUAUUUCUUACACCCCAACAAAAAAGAAAAGAAAAAGAAGAAAAAAGAACCAAGUUAAAGCCAAGGGGAAAUCUUCAUAACUAUUUUAAAGAUAGCCUGAUUCUUCCACCUAUAGAUUGGGAACUGAAAUACGCACUGUGGAGCUAUUCCAGGAAUCACAGCUAUUGUUCAACUCAUUGGAAUUCAGUACAAGUUGGAAGAGUUCACAUCUCAUAGCAAUCUACAAUUCAGUAAAUGUAAUAAUUGCAUGACGAGAACUGCUCCCGCAACAGCAGAGUAAGAAAAAGGCAUAAAGGAGGCCAAGAAGACCACCCUGGUGAAGCACAGAAAGUUCACCCAAAGCGAGACUGAAGACAGAGUGCCUUGAGGUUUUAGUCUUACGAGUGAAACCUAGAUUUCCUGGAAGAGCCUCUCCUAAGGGUUUGGCCACACACGAGUUACAAGGCCCCUACCCAAUUGCAUGGUAGGAGUGUAGGCUGCAAGAUUCUGUUUGGACCUCAUCUAACAAGUUGCUCCCAUUACCCACCUCACAAAUUAUCUGCUUCCUGCCAAUUCCCUCAUUUCCAGAUCAUGCAAACAAACACUGCUCCUAUGCAGAUGACUGGAAAAGUAGGUGGAAGGCAAAAAGCAAAGUAGGAUUAAUGGCAGAGCUGUUAUAUUCCAGCAAACACAUGAAGCGUUGGAUUCCAAAGAAGACUCAGACUAAGCCUUAGUAAUAAAGUAUUUCCAAACUCUGUUACAAAUAUGUGAACAGCUGUUCUGGACCUUUUCUUGUGUAAUAAAAUCUCAUUGUUACUUGGUCUCUGCAAA